UACGUAGGGUGCGAGCGUUGUCCGGAAUUACUGGGCGUAAAGAGCUCGUAGGCGGUUUGUCGCGUCGUCCGUGAAAACUUCGGGGCUCAACCCCAAGCUUGCGGGCGAUACGGGCAGACUUGAGUACUGCAGGGGAGGACUGGAAUUCCUGGUGUAGCGGUGAAAUGCGCAGAUAUCAGGAGGAACACCGGUGGCGAAGGCGGGUCUCUGGGCAGUAACUGACGCUGAGGAGCGAAAGCGUGGGUAGCAAACAGG
rnacentral:rRNA from 1 species